rnacentral:lncRNA from 1 species
GCUCAAUACCAAAAUCUUACACCUGUCAAAACAAGUAUAUAUGUACAACCAACUGCCAGCAUACAUAUAUAUAUUCCAACAGUUCAAAUCUCAGUCUAGGGCAAAACAUCAGAGCGACUACUAAAAAUUUACAAAAGAGUGAAUCUUUGUACAAAAUACAAAUCCUACAUCAAAGAAAGGCGCGGAAGAUGGGAAGUGGCCCGGUGGUGGAUUCCUGUGCACGUCUACUGCCUGGGGGCGCAAAACAACAAGAAGGGUGAGUGGACCCAAAAAAAACAAAGUUUAGAAAAUACUAGAUGAACAUACUAACCCCACUGUAAAAACAGUUAUACAAACUAGCUUAUUUUUUUUAUUUCUGAAAUCAAUGAAUGUAUAUAACUAUACAUUUGAAAACAGUUGAAAACUAUCACCUAGGUGUACCCCUAUUUCCGUCAAUUCCUUAUAUCCGUCAAUUCCUUGCAUCACCAUGGGUGGCGCAUACUCGCAGGUCUCAGUGACAAGAGGUCAGUCUGAGCCGCAACUCGCAGGAUUCAGGGAACCGUAGUCCGUCUUUAUCCGCAUUACUCGCUCCACACGAGUUCGAGUACCAAGGAACUCGUGGGGCAACUGUCAAGCAUGCUGACUAAACCGAAGGCAACAAAUAUAAUCCGAAGGCAACAUGUAAUAACUGGGUACAAGGUGGUUUAAGAAAAUAUAAAGUUUCUGAAGAAAAUCUUAUGAAUAAUUAACUUUCUGUAACCUUUAAAAUUCUGCUGCCAUUUAUCUGAUAAUUAACGAGAAUAUCUUUUCCUAUAUUCUUAAAAGGAAACUUCACUCGGCAGCAUGUAACAUAAAAUAUUUAACAGCAUAAAACAGCUUAUAACUGAAAUUGAACUGCUUAACUGAAACUGAACUGAUUAAAUUCAUUUAUAAAAACAAAGAGUUCACUCACUGAUAGUCUGAGCUCGCUGGACCUCUUGAAGGUCCCUCCUGCGGGUCAACUGGUGCCCGGGUGCCUGAUUCAAUGACCAUAAUAUUCUAUUAAUACAAUAUAGUAUUAAAUAAAAACAAAAACCCUACCCCCGGCUCCUAAAAGUACGUGCGUCAAUUUAAAGUGAUCCCUAUGCCCAUAACAGCUCUCCUUCCACGUGGGAUAGUUUAGCGAUAUCUUGGGACUCAAAAAGCGCUAAAGUCCAAAAAGUCAAUCCGGAACCCCACGGGUAUAAUAUGAUUCGGAUGCCGCUAAAAGGUCCAAUAUAUUUAGGACACAUGUCCCGAGGGUAUUGGUGUCAAUCGGACGGUCGGAUUAAUUACGAUCGUGUAAUCGCAUAAUUUCUAAACCCUAGCCCUAGGGUUCGCGAUUUCGGAGUAUCCGGGACUCCGAUUCGCAAUCCGUCGAAUCCUACACAAUCCUGAAAUCAUGUAGACCGACAUAUCCAAAAUUCAGUGUGAUCCACCGAUUUGACGACACUGCACCCAAGGAUCGCGCGAUAUGAAAAAUCCGUUCGGGGCUCAAACGAACUCCGAAUCGAGAUCCGCGAAAUCCUACGUGCUCGUGACGACACGAGGGUCACAAAACUGUACAACAUGACUUCACCACCCUCGCCCAUGCGCCCCAGCACGCGCGGGCAGAUUCGGGUGUCUUAAGCGAUUUCGGGUGGCCGAAAAAUCUCGGAACCAGGACUCCAAACUCCUAUCCUAGGUAAAACACUCCAUUUGGAGUCACUUUUGUUCUUGGACCUACCCCAAAAAGUGACUGGAAGUGGCCGAAAACAGAGGCCGAAAAUCGGCUGAAACUUCAAUUUAUAAACUGGGCAAUCUACGGCUAAAAUUGAUAAAAACCUAUCCAACCAUCAGUUAGAGCACGAAAAAUAGAUGAGAAUCCAUACCUUACUCGAAAGAUUUGGUUGAGAAUUGAGGGAGAACGAGCGGUUGGAAGUUGUGACAAAACCGACUUGUUUUUGGACGGAAUCCGGCGACUACAGCGGCGGCUGGCAGCAGGGAGCGGUCGGGGCUUGAAGACGGAACCGAGCUGGUUCUAUUGGCGCCGACGGCAAGGGCAUAGGUGGUCGGUGGCGGAAGUUAUGGUGCUUGGAAGGUGACGGCUGAGGAAGGCAACGGGAGAGGGAGAGAGAGAGAGAGAGAGAGAGAGAGAAGCUGAGGUUUAUAUAUAAAAAAAAUCUGAUUUUUCUAAUUACCAUUUUGCCCCUCGUGAUCUUUUAAUCGUAUUUUCUUCGUUACAACUCCGAUUCGAGCUUACUUCGUGUCUAUGAACUCGUGUCGUCGUGCUCUACGCAACGGUGUAUGUGGAAUUGUCAAAUUCCUUUUCGGUCAAAAAGUCAACAUUGAGUUCAUAAGUGAGUCAAAUGGCAAAAUUGUCUUUCCGCAUAAUAAAUUACUAAUUACAUGUGAAUUUUAGGUUUGGGUCUUUACAACCUACCCCCCUUAUACAAAUUUCGUCCUCGAAAUUUACGCACCUGUCACUCGAAGAGGUGAAGGUACUGCUCCCGCAUUUGGUCUUCGGGUUCCCAUGUAGCCUCUUCUACAGUAUGACUCCUCCAUAAGACUUUCACAAGUGGAAUCUCUCUCGAUCGCAACACUUGCGUCUUCCAAUCCAAAAUCUGAACUGGUUGCUCCACAUAAGUGAAAUCAGCCUCCAAUUCUACUGGUUGCUCCUCUAACACAUGGGAAGGGUCGGAAAUAUACUUUCGGAGCAUGGAGAUAUGAAAAACAUCAUGCAAUCGAGCUAGAUCUGAAGGCAAAGUAAGUCUGUAAGCUACUGGACCCACACGCUCUAUAAUCUCAUAGGGUCCAAUAUAGCGAGGACUUAGUUUUCCCCGCUUCCCAAAUCUUACUACACCUUUCCAAGGUGAUAGUUUCAAAAAUACCCAGUCUCCAACUUCAAACUGAAGAUCUUUUCUUCGAUUGUCCGCAUAGCUCUUUUGUCGGUCCUGGGCUGUCUUGAGUCGUUCUCUAAUGAUUUGCACUUGUUUCUUGGUCAAUUCAACAUCCUCAGAUACGACCAAUCUGUGUUCACCCACUUCAUCCCAAUAGAAUGGAGUUCUGCACUGUCUCCCAUACAAAGCAUCAAAUGGAGACAUUCCGAUACUUACUUGAUAACUGUUAUUAUAUGCAAACUCCAUAAGUGGUAACUUCUCAUCCCAAUCACCCCGAAACUGAAGUGCACAGGCUCUCAACAUAUCUUCUAGUGUCUGAAUGGUCCUCUCAGACUGACCAUCUGUCUGGGGGUGAAAUGCAGUACUAAACUGCAAUUGGGUUCCAAAAGCUUCAUUUAACUUUGUCCAAAAUCGGGAUGUAAACCGUGGGUCACGAUCUGAAACAAUGGAUACUGGUACUCCAUGAAGUCUCACGAUCUCAUCUAUGAAAAGCUUAGCCAGUUUGUUCAAACUAUAAUUUGCUCUCACCGGCAGAAAAUGAGCGGACUUGGUGAGUCGAUCCACGAUGACCCAUACUCCGUCAUGCUUACUUUGUGUUCGGGGCAGCUUGAACACAAAAUCCAUCGUAAUCCGCUCCCACUUCCACUCAGGAAUUGGAAGUGGUUGCAAUAGCCCUGAUGGUUUCUGUCGCUCAGCUUUCACUUGCUGACAAAUUAAGCAUCUUCUGACAUACUCUGCUAUUUCUUUCUUCAUAAAAGGCCACCAGUAGUGCUCUCGCAGAGUAUGGUACAUUUUUGUGCUUCCAGGGUGCAUUGCAAACGCUGAUUCAUGGGCCUCCUCAAGAAUCUCCCUUUUUAAAGCUUCAUCAUUAGGGACAUAUAACCUGUUACCUACCAUUAACGCUCCAUCAUUUCUUACAGAACAAUCAGUUCUGUCGCCAUUUGCAACCUCUACUCGCAGUGUGCAAAUCAAAGGAUCCUGAGAUUGAGCUGCGAGUAUUCGUUCUACUAGCACUGGUCUCACAUGGAGAGUAGCUAACAGUGCUCCCUGAUUAUCCACAUCUAGCCCAACUCUGAGCUUCCUCAUUUCCACCAUCAAUGGUAAAUAUUUUCCUCGAAGAUAAGCUAUAGAUCCUGAAGAUUUUCUACUGAGUGCAUCAGCAACAACAUUAGCUCUUCCUGGGUGAUGCUCGAUGGUACAGUCAUAAUCUUUUAUCAACUCCAACCAUCUUCUUUGCCUCAAAUUUAAUUCCUUCUAGGUGAAUAAAUACGUCAAACUCUUGUGAUCUGUAAAGAUCUGGCAUGUUUCCCCAUAAAGAUAAUGCCGCCAAAUCUUUAAGGCAAACACUACUGCAGCAAGUUCCAAAUCAUGAACAGGAUAAUUCAGCUCAUGCUUCUUCAGUUGUCUAGAAGCAUAGGCGAUCACCCUACCAUGCUGCAUCAGCACACACCCAAGUCCUUGUUGAGACGCAUCACUGUAGAUCACGAAGUUCCCACUAUCAUCCGGAAGUGCUAAAACCGGAGCAGUGGUCAGCCUGGUCUUGAGUUCAAUGAAACUUUCUUCACACUUAUCUGACCACACAAACUUAACUCCUUUCCGUGUCAAAUAGGUGAGAGGUGCCGCUAUGGUGGAGAACCCUUCCACGAAGCGACGGUAAUACCCGGCUAACCCCAGAAAACUUCGUAUCUCGGUAACACUGGUUGGUCGUAGCCAAUUGACUACUGCUUCAAUCUUUUGAGGAUCAACAUAAAUGCCCUCUGCAGAGAUCACGUGUCCCAAGAAGCUCACUCUGUCUAACCAACAUUGACACUUGCUGAAUUUGGCAUACAGUUGUCUUCUUCUCAGAGUCCUCAACACAAGGUUUAAAUGCUUCAUAUGUGCCUUCUGACUCUUUGAAUACACCAGAAUGUCAUCUAUGAACACAAUCACAAAGCGAUCCAAGUAACGUCGAAACACUCUGUUCAUGAGGUCCAUAAAUGCAGCUGGCGCAUUUGUUAAUCCAAAUGGCAUCACCAGGAACUCAUAGUGCCCGUACCUCGUUCGAAACGCAGUUUUAGGCACAUCCUCUUCUCUAACCCGUAACUGAUGAUAUCCAGACCUCAGGUCAAUCUUAGAAAAGACCUUGGCACCCUUCAGCUGAUCAAACAAGUCAUCAAUGCGAGGCAAUGGAUAUCUAUUCCGCACUGUGAUCUUGUUCAGCUGUCUGUAAUCAACGCAUAACCUCAUGGUGCCAUCCUUUUUCUUAACAAAUAAAACUGGAGCACCCCAUGGAGAAAAACUGGGGCGGAUAAAACCCUUAUCUACCAGCUCCUGUAACUGCGUCUUUAACUCCCUCAACUCUGCUGGUGCCAUUCUGUAUGGUGCUUGCGAAAUAGGAUUUGUUCCUGGAGCGAGUUCAAUAACAAACUCAAUCUCCCGAUGAGGAGGUAAUCCAGGAAGAUCCUCAGGAAAUACAUCUGGAAAGUCCUGUAUGACUGGAAUAUCCUCCAAUCGCAGCCCAUUAUCUCUGGUAUCAAUGACAUGUGCUAUGUAUCCUGAGCACCCUUUUCGCAGCAACCGUUUUGCCGUCAUAGCUGAAAUGAGGCAAGAUGGAAGCACUCGGCGUUCGCCAUAAAAAGUUACUUCAGGUUGUCCGGGACUAUGGAAUACAACUUCUUUCCGGAAGCAAUCUACAGAGGCACGAUGUCUGGCUAACCAAUCCAUCCCUAAGAUGACAUCCAAGUCAACCAUGCCCAAGGGAAUUAAAUCUGCUUCUAAAAACACAUUUCCCACCAUCACUGUACUAUCGCGAUACACGAUACCUACCCUAAAAAUCUCUCAUGUAGGUACUGAGAUCGCCAGUUCAGUCUGCAGAGCCGAAAGUCGAACGUUGGCAUUAUGGGUAAAACUAGGUGUGACAAACGAGUGUGUAGCCCCAGGGUCAAUUAAAACUCUAGCAGGAAUGCCAAAGACCGGUAAAAUACCUGUAAUUACGUCAGGCGAUGCAUGUGCUUCCUGCUGGGACAUGCUAUAUACUCUGCCUGUGGCUCUGGAACGUCCACCACGUCCCCUCUGCUGACUACUGCCACGACUGGCAACACUGGUCUGGGCACCACCACUGGACGAAGCCUCCACAUACGGUGGUAUCUCCUGUGAUCGACCCUGCAUAACUGUCCCUGGAAUUGGCGCAUCACUGGUCUCUCUAGUCUGCAGGAACGGGCAAUCCUUCCGAAAAUGUCCAGGUUGUCCACAGUAAUAGCAUCCAGUAGUACCCUGCUGGCAAGGCCCAGAAUGGUACCUGCCACAUCUAGCGCAUUGGGGGCGACUCCUCCUACCAGAUCCUGAUAGUAACUGUCUUCCAGCACCUCUUGCACUACCCCCAGAGCGGUUUCCAGAACUGCUACUUUGGUUAGAACCUCCGCUGGAGCUAAAUCCAGGUCGGUAACCUCCAUAGCUGCGACCACUGGAUGAUCCCGAGCUGUAACUGCCCCUCUUAGAUGAUCCUUGGCUAGGACCACCUAUUUCAAACUGCUGCCUACGGAGUUCACCCCGUGGUCUGGCCAUCAUCUGGCUGCUUUCAAUCAGCGAGGCAGACAUCACCACAUCACCAAAAUUGGUCAAUCGCUGACUGAUCACAAUAUCUCUGAUAGAGGCCUUUAAUCCCAUAGUGAACAGCUGACACUUCUUACUUUCAUCCUCCACCAGUGGAAGACAAUACUUAGACAGGUCAUGAAACCUCUUCUCAUACUCUAAUACAGUCAUCAUCCCCUGUUCUAGCUGCAAAAACUCUUGCAUCUUCAAAUUCUGGUACGCUUGUGGGUAAUACUGACUGUCAAACGCAGCUCUGAAGACUUGCCAUGUAAUAGCUAAAGGAUCCCUGUAUCGCCUCUUGACUGAAUCCCACCAAUGUCUGGCAUUUUUGAUCAAGAAGAAGGUGGCCAAAGGAACCCUACUGUGCUGUGGAACAGCCAUGACUUCCAUGAUCCACUCCAUCUUUUCAAUCCACUCCUCAGCUACUGCUGGGGUACCAUCACCAUCAAAGUCAGUGGCCCCUAUCCUCUUCGCUUGAUCAGCAUAUCCCAGGGAGGGAUCUCUGGGCUGCCCAGUCCUGGCUAAAGCCUGCAUCAGCAACUCCAAGGUCUGCUGAAAGUGGGGAUCUCCCUGCAUAGGAGGCAUAGCAGGUACGGCUCCUGACGAACCUCCAACAACAGAUUGCUCUACCGGUUCAGGUACCGGUGCAGGAACAGGAACUUCCUCCUGCCCGAGCUGGGGAUCUUGUCCCCUCUGUCGGGACGACUGUCUAGUCCCUCUACGGACACCACCACGUUUAGGGCCCAUCUUUACUGUCACAAAAACAGAUGUUCAGGAAAACAAGGAUGCACAUAGUGCGAAGUCUACAGGAAAUUAAACCUAAUGCUCUGAUACCAAGUUGACAGGACCCGAUCCAAAUUCCACUUUGGAAUCCGAGCCAGACCCUGUGCGUGUCCGACACCUGGCGAAUGUCGGGCACAAAUGAUCUAUUUGCCCUUCUAUACAAACAUGCUAAAAAUAACAAGGUUGACUUCUACCGAAAAACCGGCAGAGUUUCCCUAGUAUCUGGCUCAAUACCAAAAUCUUACACCUGUCAAACAAGUAUAUAUGUACAACCAACUGCCAGCAUACAUAUAUAUAUUCCAACAGUUCAAAUCUCAGUCUAGGGCAAAACAUCAGAGCGACUACUAAAAAUUUACAAAAGAGUGAAUCUUUGUACAAAAUACAAAUCCUACAUCAAAGAAAGGCGCGGAAGAUGGGAAGUGGCCCGGUGGUGGAUUCCUG